AUAUACUGUAGCUAAGAAUUUGACUGAUUCUUUUCCUCAGUAUUGGCUCUCAGUGAGGCUUGAGGAUCAUUGAAUCUCCCCAGUCAUGGUGAAUUUUGCAAAAUAACAGCAAGAAAAGUUGUUUCUGAAGAUAUAAUUGCUAUGAGACAUUUACUGUCAAACCCCAAAGCCCUGGAAGGGUAGGAGCCUCUGCACUGGUGAUGGGGGAUGAAGAGACCCAGAGGCUGCAGCAGCGUGCCGACGAAUGCCAAGGACCAGCUGAUCAGCAGAGAAGAAAGGCUCUCAUGAGAGAGGACGGGAAGUUAAAAUAGACUAACAAGCUGGCAAGAAGAGCAUUGCCAUUGGACCUAGAGAAGAAAGAAAACAUGACUAGCAGGCAAAGAUGGAAUUAUGCAGUUUCAUCACAAUAAAGAAAAAUAAGUUCCUCGGGGACUGAAGAUCAAUGAAAUAUGGUUGUCAUUAUAGUCACUAUGCACUGAGGAUAGUAGUAGCAGUAUUAGAUAGGAUAGUAGACAGUAGUAGUAGGUAAAGCAGUAUAGGAUCAAUCAAUCACAGUCAGCCAAAAAGGGUAGAUCCAAGAAAAUAUGGAGGUUCUGACAGAUUGCUUGCUAAAUGUUAAUUGAAACCUUUGAUGAAUUCCGUGAGGAAUUAGUAAUAUACUUUAUUUAAUAAUACAUAUUUUGCAGUAGUUUAGGAUAAGCACACUGUGAUUGAAACAACAGUGUUACUAUGGGAAGGGAGAUAGUUUCCAAAUAGUACAGCCAUUCAUCCCUGGAUCAGUUUGCUGGAUUCCACUCUUCUGAAGUUAGAAGCAGGAGGGAGAAGGGGAAUGCUGCUUUUAUAGUUGAUCUUUUAUAGAUAUACUUCUGUCUUUGAAAUGUAUAUAAA